GAUGAACGCUAGCGGCAGGCCUAAUACAUGCAAGUCGGACGGGAUUCAGGAGCUUGCUUCUGAUGAGAGUGGCGCACGGGUGCGUAACACGUAUGUAACCUGCCUUUAUCAGGGGGAUAGCCUCUCGAAAGAGAGAUUAAGCCCGCAUAAAAUCACAGCACAGCAUUGUGUAAUGAUCAAAUAUUUAUAGGAUAAAGAUGGGCAUGCGGAACAUUAGCUAGAUGGCGGGGUAACGGCCCACCAUGGCGACGAUGUUUAGGGGAUCUGAGAGGAUGGCCCCCAACACUGGUACUGAGACACGGACCAGACUCCUACGGGAGGCAGCAGUAAGGAAUAUUGGUCAAUGGGCGGAAGCCUGAACCAGCCAUGCCGCGUGCAGGAAGACGGCCCUACGGGUUGUAAACUGCUUUUAUACGGGAAUAAACCCAGAUACGUGUAUCUGGCUGAAUGUACUGUAAGAAUAAGGAUCGGCUAACUCCGUG
rnacentral:rRNA from 1 species